UGACCUGCCCAUUGGGUUCUAAAAGGCCGCGGUAUUAUGACCGUGCAAAGGUAGCAUAAUCAUUAGUCUUUUAAUUGAAGGCUAGAAUGAAUGGUUGGACAAGAAAUAAUCUGUCUUAAAUUAAAAUAUUGAAUUUAACUUUUAAGUGAAAAGGCUUAAAUUAGCUAGAGUGACGAUAAGACCCUAUAAAACUUUAUAUUUUAAAAUAAUAGUUAGUUUUAUUUAAGAGUUUUAUUUUUAAAUAUUUUAUUGGGGUGAUAAAGAUAUAAAUUAAAAUAACUGUCUUUUUUUUUUACAAUAAUCUUUGAAUUAAUGAUCCUAACAAAGGAGUAAAAGAUCAAGUUACUUUAGGGAUAACAGCGUAAUUUUUUUUAAGAGUUCAUAUCGACAAAAAAGUUUGCGACCUCGAUGUUGAAUUAAAAGAUCUUUAUAGAGCA
rnacentral:rRNA from 1 species